rnacentral:rRNA from 1 species
AGAGCGAACGCUGGCGGCAGGCCUAAUACAUGCAAGUCGAACGGAUCCUUCGGGAUUAGUGGCGGACGGGUGAGUAACACGUGGGAACGUACCCUUUGGUUCGGAACAACUCAGGGAAACUUGAGCUAAUACCGAAUGUGCCCUUCGGGGAAAAGAUUUAUCGCCAUUGGAGCGGCCCGCGUCUGAUUAGCUAGUUGGUAGGGUAAAGGCCUACCAAGGCUACGAUCAGUAGCUGGUCUGAGAGGAUGAUCAGCCACACUGGGACUGAGACACGGCCCAGACUCCUACGGGAGGCAGCAGUAGGGAAUCUUGCGCAAUGGGCGAAAGCCUGACGCAGCCAUGCCGCGUGAAUGAUGAAGGUCUUAGGAUUGUAAAGCCCUGUGGGGAGAGACGAAUAAGGCCAGUCGAACAGGCUGGGUUGAUGACGGUAUCUCCUUAGCAAGCACCGGCUAACUCUGCGCCAGCAGCCGCGGU